AGCUCCAAUAGCGUAUAUUAAAGUUGCUGCAGUUAAAAAGCUCGUAGUUGGAUCUCGGGGGACCUGGUCUAGCCGGUAUAGCUCACGCUAAAACUGGUCUGACCCCCCAACGUGAGGUAUUCGUCUCCGGGUGCACUUCAUUGGGUGCUCGUGAGGGGCCUCGUAGUUACUUUGAAAAAAUUAGAGUGUUCAAAGCAGGCUCAUAUGUUCGGAUAGUCGUGCAUGGAAUAACUGAAUACGUGACUUGCCCUUUUCAGUUGUUCUCGGCGACUGGUCUAAUGAUUAAUAUGGACUGCCGGGGGCAUUUGUAUGGCGGCGUUAGAGGUGAAAUUCUUGGAUCCUCUCCAGACCAACAACUGCGAAUGCAUUUGCCAAGAAUGUCUUCA
rnacentral:rRNA from 1 species